GCCUCCGUGGAUGAGUGGUUCAUCGCCUCGCACUAUUAAAGUCCCUGCCAGGAGACGCGGGUUCGACUCCCGCCGGAAGCA